UGAUUGCAGAAAAUACAUGUAACCUCUGGUUCACUGCUUGAUACCAACAUAUUCUACAACUACUACUAUAACACUACCAGACUGGCAGCAGCAACAUAAAUGUUCUUAUAUACAGCAACAAACCCUGUCAGGGUCUGAUCAUAAUAUGAUCAAAAUCUAAGUAGACCAGACAGAAGUAUUUUCUCUCUCAGUAUAUUUUAUUUGUAAAGAUAUUUGUUAUACAGUAAGAAUUUUCUUCUUGAGAGUUGGUAAAGAAAAGAACAUGACGACAACACAUGACAAACUACAUCCAGGCUAGUGAUACUAACACAGUGCAGGCUUCAACACAAGCUGAGCCAGAGCCACUGAUUGAGCAACUGGCUGCUUCUGCCAUAAGGGCUCCUCUGUUUACACUGAUUUCGCGAGUAGCUGUGUGCUCUUAUUUAGCUGGAAUAAACAAAACUACUUUGGCGCAAUUGAAAAAUGACAAGCAAAAGAGGACUGGAUCCAUAUUUAGCAUGCACUUUCAAGUCACAAACACUUUGAUGACAAACAUUCCUGCUGCUUUUCUUUUUACUGGUUCAACAGAAGUGUCACAAAAUUGAAAGUAAAAUGCUUGGUUACGAUUUUAAAAAUGUGAUUUUGUGUUUUGUACUUUUUAGAGAGUUUGAUGUAUAUUUUCCAGCAGUUCCGUUGAGAAGGCAAAAUUUUUUAUUUUUUUAUUUUUUAUUUUUUUUUACAAUUGCACAAAAUUCAGUUCAUAAUGAAAUGUGACAUACUAAAAAAGCUGCAACUGACAAUCAUUUGCUUUGAGUUAUGAAACUCUCGUAUAACAUUUGAAGUCUGCAUGUGUGGUAGAGCCACACUGAGCUAAGGCUGAAAUUUAAAGGCAUCAAAUUUGGAAAAUAUUUUUCAUGUCAAAAGCAGAUUUAUUAAUGAGAUACGGUAACCAAAACGAAGAUAAGGGUGAGGAUGAACGCCCCGAGACCGAGUCCCAGGCCCACAUGGUUCAGUGUCCUCGCCGUCCUGCUGCUGCGCUCCGCCGUUAUCUGGUCGCCAACAUGGUUCGCUUCCCGGGCC
ensembl:lncRNA